rnacentral:lncRNA from 10 species
UUGGCUGCCCUGCACUUAAGCACAGAAAAUAAAAAAGCAAUCCUCUGUACAACGCCUACCACAAUGAUUUAAACUUCAAACUGGAGGAACUAUAGCAAAGCUGCUAAUGCAAAGGGAAGCCUUCUACAAAAAGGAUGAAGAAAUCACCCUGACCAAGAGACCGAAGCAAAGAUGAAAGGAAGGCAUAAAUAAUCGCAGCUCGGGUCCGAUGAGACUUAUUGCUGGGGCUUUCAGACCUAGAGAGGUAGCAGGGGCGGGGUGGGGGUGCCUGUACGCGGGGGCGGGGUGUCCCACCCAGUUGACCUGGAUUAGAGCCCAUGGGGCUGCAUUCCGGGCUUCCGUGUUUCCCAAAGUUAUGUGGUGGCGGGGGGCCUGGCUGUUAAGGAUCUGGGGAUGUGGUUACCUAUGGCCUCUGAGGGUGACACCAGCUGUCCAGCACUGUGAAAUCAAACAAUGGUAGUGGGCCAGAAAGAUGGCUUAGCUUCCUCCUGAGUAUGAGCAAGUUUCCGUAACUGUGAAUCAUCCUUCCCCAACCAUAAAAGUGGGCAUAUUAAUACCUGUCUUGUAAGAAUCCUGUGAAGAUCAGGGAUAACAAAUGCAACUUAAUAAAAGUAACCUGUUAUGUGUUGGCUGGUGAUGCCAUAAAUGUAUUUUGUAA